rnacentral:rRNA from 1 species
AAGCUCGUAGUUGAAUUUCGGGAUUAGUACGUCGGUCGUGCCUUAGGUACGUACUGGUGUUACUGGUUCCUACCUUCUGACGGACCAUCAUGUCAUUAACUUGGUGUGGUGGGGAAUCAGGACAGUUACUUUGAAAAAAUUAGAGUGUUUAAAGCAGGCUCGCGCUUGAAUACAUUAGCAUGGAAUAAUGAAAUAGGACGUUGAUCCUAUUUUGUUGGUUUCUAGGAUUGACGUAAUGAUUAAUAGGGAUAGUUGGG